rnacentral:rRNA from 1 species
AGCUCCAAUAGCGUAUAUUAAAGUUGUUGCGGUUAAAAAGCUCGUAGUUGGAUCUCGGGUCUGGGCAGACGGUUAGCCUUGCGGCUUAUACUGUCAGUCUGUACCUUCUUGAUGUUGUGAGCUAGUGGGCUUCGUUGCCUGCCAGUCUUAUUUCGUCGUCUUUACCUUGAAAAAAUUAGAGUGCUCAAAGCAGGCUCAUAUGCCUGGAUAAUGGUGCAUGGAAUAAUGGAAUAGGACCGCUGAUCCUAUUUUGUUGGGCUAAGGAACAGAGGUAAUGAUUAAGAGGGACAGGUGGGGGCAUUCGUACUGUGCCGUUAGAGGUGAAAUUCUUGGAUCGGCGCAAGACGCACUACUGCGAAAGCAUUUGCCAAGAAUGUUUUCAUUGAUCAAGAACGAAAGU